rnacentral:rRNA from 1 species
UACAGAGGUGGCAAGCGUUGCUCGGUAUCACUGGGCUUAAAGGGCGCGUAGGCGGUGCGGUACGGUUUCGGUGAAAUCCCUCGGCCCAACCGAGGAACAGCCGGAGCUACGGCCGCACUAGACGGCAUCAGGGGACAGUGGAACUCCCGGUGGAGCGGUGAAAUGCGUAGAUAUCGGGAGGAACGCCGGUGGCGAAAGCGACUUACUGGACACAUAUUGACGCUGAGGUGCGAAAGCGUGGGGAGCAAACAGG